rnacentral:piRNA from 1 species
UGCGCUGUGUGGUAUUGAUGCUGAUCCCC